GUAGAAGUAGUAUGCCCUAGACUCCUUAAGGUAUGCUACAAUUAAGCACUUAUCGGACUAGGAUUUAAGCUUAUUGAUCUGUAAAUAUUUUACAUAAAUCGAACAAUCCUAAAUCCUUAGAUAAGAGGGUAUCGGUCUACACCCAGUACAUAUCUCAUAUAGAGUUUUUAUGACCAAUUUGCUCGAAACAUUAUUCAAAACAUAGCACGCAGUCUUAAGAGCAUAACCUCAAAAGAGAUCGAUAAACUCAUAAAUCCCAUCAUGGAUCGAACCAUAUCUAAUAGAGUUUGAUUCUUUCUUUCAAACAUCCCAUUAUGUUAUGGUGUCCCA
rnacentral:lncRNA from 1 species